CAAUACUAAUUUUAUAGGUGUACUUUUGAGGUAUGUUAUAAGGUAAAAUUUGGAAUUGUGAGGGACCGAGAAGCCAAGAACAAGGAACACAAGCGUUGCGCAAACAAAUGGGUCUUUAUUUGAACCCAAAACAAAAUAACUUUACACACUUACAACAAAAAUAAACAAACAAAAACCGAGAUCAAACAAUUAGACAAAAACCAAACAAACAAACUAAAACUGACCUCCUCAAAUGAACAAAGCAACAGUUUAUAAAGGAAGGGAUGGGCCCAUUACAAAUUAAGAGGGGAAACAAUUUAACUUUACAUACAACAUAUAACCUCACAUAAAUCAAAAUCAAAUCAAACAAAGAUACAUUGUAAAUAAAGACAAGGAAAGCAAAAUGUAAUCAAAUAUCAUAAAUGUACAACUAAAUAAAUCAAUUAGUAACACAUCAACGUUCCUUCCUCCCCCCAGAAACUCCCAGUGAAUGGUACGCCCAGACGGAACCAAUAAGCUUAAAUAUGGUGUUCCUGCCGGACUCUUGUUUUUCGUCACACCAGGAUGCGGCUGCAACGGACCAUGGCUGAAGUUGAUCACCGAAACUCCCAGUGAAUGGUACGCCCAGACGGAACCAAUAAGCUUAAAUAUGGUGUUCCUGCCGGACUCUUGUUUUUCGUCACACCAGGAUGCGGCUGCAACGGACCAUGGCUGAAGUUGAUCACCGGUAAACUUAAACUCAAAAUAGAAACAAAUAUAAAUAACAGAUACAACAUAACUAAUUUGUGUGCACUUCAAAUCAGUCACAAUGCAUUGUGAAUGUAAAUGUAAACUUAUGCAAACCUAACAAUAAAUAGAGAAUGAAUGAAUGAAUUGUGUUUCCUGUGGUUACUUAUGCGAUCAUACUGAAACAAAUGAAAAUAAAUAAGAAGUUUAAAUAAGCUCAUUCUGAAAUGAAUGUCCUUCGUAUAACUAUAUGUAUGCAUGUGUGUGUGCGCUGGAUACAUCCACUUUACCGCUCUUGUGCGGCCACCACUCGGGCCGUCACAGGAAUUAUUAACAUUUUUAAUGUUUUUGAUAGACAUCUCGUAUGCUCAUAAAGCCUGCAUUUAUAUGAUCAAAAAUACAGAAAAAAAUAAAUAUUGUGAAAUAUUAUUACAAUUUAAAACAAUGAUUUUCAAUUUUAAAAUAUUUUAAACUAAUUUAUUCCUGUGAUGCCCAGCUGAAUUUUUCAGCAUCAUUACUGCAGUCUUCAGUGUUACAUGAUCUUCAGAAAUCAUUCUCAUAUGAUGAUUUUCAGUUAUUAUCAAUGUUGGAAACAGUUGUAAUGCUUAAUAUUUUGUGAUAAUGUAAACCUGUAAUAUUGUUUUCAGGAUUCAUUGAUAAAUAAAAAUAGUAAAAGAACAGCAUUUAUUAAAAAUAGAAAUAUAUUCCAACAAUGUCUUUACUGUUGCUUUUUUUUAAUCAAUUUAACACAACCUUGCUAAAUAAAAGUAUUAAUUGUUAAAAAAAUAAGAUUCCAAACUUUGAAUGGUAGUGUAUAUUGUUACAAGUUAUUUCUAUUUUAAAUAAAUGCUGUUCUUUUUUAUUAUUUUAGGGUCUUUUAACUAAUUGCGUAUUAGCUUGCAUAUUACUAGAAUAUUGGCUGUUUAUUAAUAUUUAUUAAGCACAUAUUAAUGCCUUAUUCUGCAUGACCUUAUUCUACAUUCUUUAUCCUACCCAAUACCUAAAGUUAACAACAAACUUACUAAUUAUUAAUAAGCAGUAAAUUAGGAGUUUGUUGAAGGAAAAGUCAUAGUUAAGAGUGAAUAUGUGUUCCCUGUACUAAAGUGUUACCACAUUAGUUAACUACAACAGAUAACAUUAACUAAGAGUUAAAAAUAAUUAUACAGCAUUUGUUAAUCUUAAUGUUAAUUUCAACAUUUACUAAUACAUUAUUAAAAUCAAAUGCUGUAGUUUUUAAACAUUAGUUAAUGCACUAUGAACUAACAUGAACAAACAAUGAACAGCUGUAUUCUUAUUAACGAACAUUAACAAAUAUCAAUAAUACUGUAACUAACAACUGUAUUGUUCACUGUUAGUUCAUGUUAGUUAAUACAUUAGCUAAUGCUAACGAAUGCUACAUUUUUUUAUACUAAUGCUAAACUUUUUAUACUUUUUAUAACCUCUCAAGAUCCAUAAAGGUACUAAAGACAAACUUAAAACAGCUAAUGUGAGUUCAGUGGUUCAACUUUAAUGUUGUGAAGUGACGAUAAUACUUGUGCACCAAAAAACCCCCCAAAAAUAACUACUUUUCAACAAUAUCUUGUAAUGGCCGUUUUCAAAAAACACUGGUUCAUUAAGAUCUGAAGCUUUCGUUUCAAUUCAGUGGUUCGGAUCGCGUAUCAAAUGGCUAAACUGCUGUAAUCACCAGUCCCUCCAUGAUUUUGCGAUUCUGCGAUCACUGAAUUUAUCGCAAAAUCAAGUAAACUUCACAUUUUUCGCAAAAGCUCGCAAUUUUUUGUAAUUGCCGCAGAUUUUCCACAGAUUUUUGAGCUUCACAAAAAUUUGCGAGCUUUUGCGAAAAAUACGGAGUUUACUUGAUUUUGCGAUAAAUUCAGUGAUCGCAGAAUCCGUGACGUCAUCCCAAUGCACAUUCAGUCAAAGAAAGGUUGUUUCUUAGUUCCAAAAAUGGAAUGAACAGCCUUGCGUUCUCAUCAUGACUGAUUUACAAGAGCUACAUUGGAUAAACGAACCGAAAGCGGAACAAAUCAGCACUACUAGUUUGGGCUACACAGCGCAGACCAUUUAUCUGCUCGAGCCGGAGCUGCGGGCUGAUCUCGAUCACGCAACACUGAUAUACACAGUGCUGGGAGAUACAGUAAAGAAAGCAGUCAAAUUCACCACAGAAUCAACAUCUCUGUGAAAUCUUGUGAGAAGCAUUCAAAUUCAGGGCAGAAUUCUGUUAAAGCUGAUGUCAGAACAAAUGCCACUGAUGUGGAAACCAUGAAAAACUUGUAUUUAUUUGUACAAAUUUGUAUUUAUUCAAUUAUAUUUAGACAUUAUGAAUAACAGUAAUAAAAUUAAAUUUUAUUAGAUGUAAUAUAUUUAUUACAUCUGUAAGAC
ensembl:lncRNA